AUUGAACGCUGGCGGCAGGCCUAACACAUGCAAGUCGAGCGGAUGAAGGGAGCUUGCUCCUGGAUUCAGCGGCGGACGGGUGAGUAAUGCCUAGGAAUCUGCCUGGUAGUGGGGGAUAACGUCCGGAAACGGGCGCUAAUACCGCAUACGUCCUGAGGGAGAAAGUGGGGGAUCUUCGGACCUCAUGCUAUCAGAUGAGCCUAGGUCGGAUUAGCUAGUUGGUGGGGUAAAGGCCUACCAAGGCGACGAUCCGUAACUGGUCUGAGAGGAUGAUCAGUCACACUGGAACUGAGCCACGGUCCAGACUCCUACGGGAGGCAGCAGUGGGGAAUAUUGGACGAUGGGCGAAAUCCUUUUCCAGCCAUGCCGCGUGUGUGAAGAAGGUCUUCGGAUUGUAAAGCGCUUUAAGUUGGGAGGAAGGUCAGUAAGUUAAUACCUUGCUGUUUUGACGUUACCGACAGAAUAAGCACCGUCUAACUUCGUG
rnacentral:rRNA from 1 species